rnacentral:tRNA from 1 species
GGAGGAAUACCCAAGUCUGGCUGAAGGGAUCGGUCUUGAAAACCGACAGGCGGGUCAAACCGCGCGGGGGUUCGAAUCCCCCUUCCUCCUCCA